UACGUAGGGGGCAAGCGUUGUCCGGAAUCAUUGGGCGUAAAGAGCGCGUAGGCGGUCCGGUAAGUCGGUUGUGAAAACUGGGGGCUCAACCCUCAGAGGCCGACCGAUACUGCCGGGCUAGAGUCCGGAAGAGGCGAGUGGAAUUCCUGGUGUAGCGGUGAAAUGCGCGGAUAUCAGGAGGAACACCAAUGGCGAAGGCAGCUCGCUGGGACGGUACUGACGCUGAGGCGCGAAAGCGUGGGGAGCAAACAGG
rnacentral:rRNA from 1 species